CGAGGACAUGAAAAUGAGCCGGCGCCAAAACUUAAGAGCAUACAACCAUGCCGACAACCAUCCAUGGAGAUCAGUUGACAAAGGGCUGGACAUCGGGCCGCACCGAAAAAACGCAUCCUUGCCAAGAAAGUGGCCACUGUAAUUGAAGGGGGCUCAGGGCAGUACCGUUCUGUUAAUCUGAAGGUGCGCAUGGAUCAGAUUCAAACUUUGAAGACCGAGAUUGAAGGCAGACCAGCAGAAAGAGAAACAUUAUCUGAGGGCAGAGAUACGGGCAACAGCUGACACAUUGGUCUAGAGCCAGGUGGCAUUGGCGGAGAUUCAGGCAGAGAAUGGCGCGU
rnacentral:lncRNA from 1 species